rnacentral:lncRNA from 1 species
CUGUUAUGGAAAACGUGUCAUCAUCGAAAAUAAUUCCAAGAUAGCCUUAGCUUUAGAAAUUAUUCUUUUUAAUUACAGUUUAUGUAGACUGCUAUUUACGAAGGAUGGUUCUGAAAAGUUUGCUAUUUAAAUUAUACAAAAGAAUAAUUUUAGCACGGAGAAUGGGAAUGUUUUUAAUAAUCCAGCAAAUGUCAAAAACAAAGUUGAAAUAUUAAGGAAGCUGAGUUCAUGAGAAACAUCCCUGUAUGAUUUAUUUGGUUGACAUCUAUGACAUGACUGAAGCCAUGAACAUCAUUUUUGAAUUAAUGGAAGGUGGUGAGCUCUUUGAUGAUAGAAUAAAAAGCAGAGGUAAACUGUCUGAACCAUGUGCAAAAAUGAUACUGACUCCCCAAAAAAGCGGUACUCUAAAAAUGUGGAAAAAAUUUUGCAUAUUUCAAAUGAUUAUAACUUCCGCAAUGCUCGUCUGAACGUAUAUGCCUCAGUUUCUUUAAUAUUUCAACUUUGUUCUUGACAUUCGCUGGAUUAUUGAAAACAUUCCCCUUCUCUGUGCAAGUAAAAUACAUAAACUGUAAUAUAAAAGAAUAAUUUUUAAAGUUAAGGCUAUCUUGGAAUUAUUUUCGAUGAUGACAUGUUUUCCGUGACCGACCAAGUUCUCAUCAACAAAUCUUCCAUCAAUAAUCUUCCAUCAUAACUUCUUUAAUAAUCAAAUAAUUAUUAUAGUAAUAAAGGAUUAUUUACCUUUGAAAAAUCUCGUUAAAUGUCACUAUCUUCUAAUAAACUUUUUAAACACA